rnacentral:rRNA from 1 species
AACGAACGCUGGCGGCAGGCUUAACACAUGCAAGUCGAACGCCCCGCAAGGGGAGUGGCAGACGGGUGAGUAACGCGUGGGAAUCUACCCAUCCCUACGGAACAACUCCGGGAAACUGGAGCUAAUACCGUAUACGCCCUUAGGGGGAAAGAUUUAUCGGGGAUGGAUGAGCCCGCGUUGGAUUAGCUAGUUGGUGGGGUAAAGGCCUACCAAGGCGACGAUCCAUAGCUGGUCUGAGAGGAUGAUCAGCCACAUUGGGACUGAGACACGGCCCAAACUCCUACGGGAGGCAGCAGUGGGGAAUAUUGGACAAUGGGCGCAAGCCUGAUCCAGCCAUGCCGCGUGAGUGAUGAAGGCCUUAGGGUUGUAAAGCUCUUUCACCGAUGAAGAUAAUGACGGUAUCCGGAGAAGAAGCCCCGGCUAACUUCGUGCCAGCCGCCGCCGUAA